UACGUAGGGUGCAAGCGUUAUCCGGAAUUAUUGGGCGUAAAGAGCUCGUAGGCGGUUUGUCGCGUCUGCUGUGAAAACUGGAGGCUCAACCUCCAGCCUGCAGUGGGUACGGGCAGACUAGAGUGCGGUAGGGGAGAUUGGAAUUCCUGGUGUAGCGGUGGAAUGCGCAGAUAUCAGGAGGAACACCGAUGGCGAAGGCAGCUCGCUGGCCUAACACUGACGCUGAGGCGCGAAAGCGUGGGGAGCAAACAGG
rnacentral:rRNA from 1 species